rnacentral:rRNA from 1 species
GGACGAACGCUGGCGGCACGCCUAACACAUGCAAGUCGAACGGAGAAAAUAGCUUCGGUGUUUCUUAGUGGCGGACGGGUGAGUAACACGUGAGGAACCUGCCUCUGAGAGUGGGAUAGCUUCUGGAAACGGAUGGUAAUACCGCAUAACAUAGCGAAACCGCAUGAUUUUGCUAUCAAAGUAUUUCGCUCAGAGAUGGCCCGCGUCUGAUUAGUUAGUUGGCGGUGUAACGGACCACCAAGGCGACGAUCAGUAGCCGACCUGAGAGGGUGACCGGCCACAUUGGGACUGAGACACGGCCCAAACUCCUACGGGAGGCAGCAGGUGGGGAAUAUUGCACAAUGGGGGAAACCCUGAUGCAGCGACGCCGCGUGAGCGAAGAAGUAUUUCGGUAUGUAAAACUCUAUCAGCAGGGAAGAUAAUGACGGUACCUGACUAAGAAGCACCGGCUAAAUACGUG